rnacentral:rRNA from 1 species
GACGAACGCUGGCGGCGUGCUUAACACAUGCAAGUCGAACGGAAAGGCCCUGCUUUUGUGGGGUGCUCGAGUGGCGAACGGGUGAGUAACACGUGAGUAACCUGCCCUUGACUUUGGGAUAACUUCAGGAAACUGGGGCUAAUACCGGAUAGGAGCUCCUGCUGCAUGGUGGGGGUUGGAAAGUUUCGGCGGUUGGGGAUGGACUCGCGGCUUAUCAGCUUGUUGGUGGGGUAGUGGCUUACCAAGGCUUUGACGGGUAGCCGGCCUGAGAGGGUGACCGGCCACAUUGGGACUGGGAUACGGCCCGGAUCCCAAGGGGGGGAAGAAGGGGGGAUUAUGGAACAAGGGGCGGAGGCCGAAGGAAGAAAGGCGGGGGGGGGAAGAACGGCUUCGGGUUGUAAACCGCUUUCGCCUGUGACGAAGCGUGAGUGACGGUAAUGGGUAAAGAAGCACCGGCUAACUACGUG